UCAGAGCGAACGCUAGCGGCGGGCGUUAACACAUGCAAGUCGAGCGGAGAGCUUCGGCUCUCAGCGGCGAACGGGUGAGUAACACGUAGGUCACGUACCCUUUGAUGGGGAAUAACCUAGGGAAACCUGGGCUAAUACCGCAUAUGUCCUUCGGGAUGAAAGCCUUCGGGCGUCAGAGGAUCGGCCUGCGGCCCAUUAUUUAAUCCUAGUUGGUAGGGUAAUGGCCUACCAAGGGUACGAUGGGUAGCUGGUCUGAGAGGAUGAUCAGCCACACUGGAACUGAGACACGGUUCAGACUCCUACGGGAGGCAGCAGUGGGGAAUAUUGGACAAUGGGCGAAAGCCUGAUCCAGCCACGCCGCGUGGGUGAUGAAGGCCUUCGGGUUGUAAAGCCCUGUCGGGAGGGACGAAUCAAUGACGGUACCUCCCAAGAAAGCACCGGCUAACUCCGUG
rnacentral:rRNA from 1 species